AAGUCGAACGGAAAGGCCCUGCUUGCAGGGUACUCGAGUGGCGAACGGGUGAGUAACACGUGGGUGAUCUGCCCUGCACUUCGGGAUAAGCCUGGGAAACUGGGUCUAAUACCGGAUAGGAGCCAUUUUUAGUGUGAUGGUUGGAAAGUUUUUUCGGUGUAGGAUGAGCUCGCGGCCUAUCAGCUUGUUGGUGGGGUAAUGGCCUACCAAGGCGGCGACGGGUAGCCGGCCUGAGAGGGUGGACGGCCACAUUGGGACUGAGAUACGGCCCAGACUCCUACGGGAGGCAGCAGUGGGGAAUAUUGCACAAUGGGCGCAAGCCUGAUGCAGCGACGCCGCGUGGGGGAUGACGGCCUUCGGGUUGUAAACUCCUUUCGCUAGGGACGAAGCUUUUUGUGACGGUACCUAGAUAAGAAGCACCGGCUAACUACGUGCCAGCAGCCGCGGUAAUACGUAGGGUGCGAGCGUUGUCCGGAAUUACUGGGCGUAAAGGGCUCGUAGGUGGUUUGUCGCGUCGUCUGUGAAAU
rnacentral:rRNA from 1 species